rnacentral:rRNA from 1 species
UACGUAGGUCCCGAGCGUUGUCCGGAUUUAUUGGGCGUAAAGCGAGCGCAGGUGGUUUAUUAAGUCUGGUGUAAAAGGCAGUGGCUCAACCAUUGUAUGCAUUGGAAGCUGGUAGACUUGAGUGCAGGAGAGGAGAGUGGAAUUCCAUGUGUAGCGGUGAAAUGCGUAGAUAUAUGGAGGAACACCGGUGGCGAAAGCGGCUCUCUGGCCUGUAACUGACACUGAGGCUCGAAAGUGUGGGGAGCAAACAGG